rnacentral:rRNA from 1 species
GACGUAGGGCGCGAGCGUUGUCCGGAUUUAUUGGGCGUAAAGAGCUCGUAGGCGGCUUGUCGCGUCGACUGUGAAAACCCGCGGCUCAACUGCGGGCCUGCAGCCGAUACGGGCAGGCUAGAGUUCGGUAGGGGAGACUGGAAUUCCUGGUGUAGCGGUGAAAUGCGCAGAUAUCAGGAGGAACACCGGUGGCGAAGGCGGCAUCCUGGACCGGUAUUGACGCUGAGGCGCGAAAGCCAGGGGAGCAAACGGG